CUGCAGCGAACAAAGCAAUGAACUGAGGAGCUGAAAGUAAGUAAAUAUGUGAAAGGCGUCAAACAGUCUUAUUUUUGCUUUAAGUCUUACUAAGGCUACACGAAAACAUCAGAUUACAGGUAACAUGCUCUAACCUGUACCCCAUAGCGGGUCGCAUUUACACAUUCUAGGUAGGCUAGUUACCUGUAAUCUGUUUUCUUCGUGUAUGUUGGGAGCUGGAACGGAAAUCCAGUAUCGGCAUUGGAAUAGCAGGUAUGCCUCUCACAUAUGUAUUGAAAAUAGACUUAACAGAAUGCUCAGGAUGGGCACGGUAAGUGGCUUUUGGUGUAACCGGUUGUAACGGAUAACGGAGAAUAAGGGUUCGACUCCUGAGAAACGGCUAGCUACCACAUCCAAGGAAGGCAACAGGCGCGCAAAUUACCCACCCUCAGCAUGAGAAGAUACUGACGAAAAAUAACGAGACCGUUCUGUUUGAGGUUGAUUAUCGAAAUGGGUACAGUUUAAACCCGUUAACGAGGGGAUCUAUGAGAGGGCAAGCCUGGUGCUAGCAGCCGCGGUAAUCCCAGCUCUUA
rnacentral:ncRNA from 1 species